UACGUAGGGUGCAGGCGUUAAUCGGAAUUACUGGGCGUAAAGCGUGCGCAGGCGGUUCGUUGUGUCGGUGGUGAAAGCCCCGGGCUUAACCUGGGAAUGGCCGUCGAAACUGGCGAACUGGAGUGUGGCAGAGGGGGGUGGAAUUCCGCGUGUAGCAGUGAAAUGCGUAGAGAUGCGGAGGAACACCAGUGGCGAAGGCGACUACCUGGCCUGUUCUUGACGCUGAGGCGCGAAAGCUAGGGGAGCAAACGGG
rnacentral:rRNA from 1 species